rnacentral:rRNA from 1 species
CCUACGGGAGGCUGCAGUAGGGAAUAUUGCACAAUGGGGGAAACCCUGAAGCAGCAACGCCGCGUGGGGGAUGAAGGUUUUCGGAUUGUAAACCCCUUUUGUUAGAGAAGAUAAUGACGGUAUCUGACGAAUAAGCCCCGGCUAACUCCGUGCCAGCAGCCGCGGUAAUACGUAGGGUGCAAGCGUUACUCGGAAUCACUGGGCGUAAAGAGCGCGUAGGCGGGAGAGCAAGUCAGAAGUGAAAUCCUAUGGCUUAACCAUAGAACUGCAUUUGAAACUGUUAUUCUAGAGUAUGGGAGAGGUAGGUGGAAUUCUUGGUGUAGGGGUAAAAUCCGUAGAGAUUAAGAGGAAUACUCAUGGCGAAGGCGACCUGCUAGAAUAUAACUGACGUUGAGGCGCGAAAGCGUGGGGAGCAAACAGGAUUAGAUACCCCUGUAGUC